CGCGGUGCCUGCUUUCGCUUUAGCCGUCAUGGUCUGCGCACUUAUGCCGGCAGUUUGUUCCGUUGAAUUCUGCGCCAGCAAGUGUGGGGAUGGGCAUUCAUUUCAUCGCUUCCCGAAUGAUCCGGUGCUCAAGCAAGUGUGGGCCGACUUCGUGCGCCGCGACCGAGGCAGAGACUGGACGCCCAAUAAGCACAGUGUGGUGUGCUCACGACACUUCGUGCCAGACUCAUACACGCGAAACGUGCAGUACUUGGCCGACUUCGGGCUGGAAAGAAAGAAACAGCGUCUCAGACCAGAUGCUGUGCCAACAGUGUACCGCCCCGCUCCAGUCAUAUCCAAGCCUGACGACGAGUGUGCCAAUGCUUGCUUUUCCUUAAACAUCGCCCCGGCGUCGCCUUCGUUAAGAACAGAUCCAACCUUGUUGCACAGUUCUGUCGAUGACGGAAAGUGCGAUGCGCAGACUCAGUGCAUACUGCAAACGGCGACUCGGGCAACGCUGGCGAAGACAAAGAUGAGAGGCAUUGCGAUCCAAACGGACGAACUGAGAGCUAAGCAGAUGAGCCGUCUGCUGAGUCAGGCACGUUCGACGAUGACUUGCGAGACAUGACCUGCGGAUGCACCUGGCGAUACAGAGACGCAAGUUGGUACGACGCCAUGGCUGCCACAUCGAUCAAAUGCCUUUGGAACAGUGAACACAAGGUGGCUGUUUUUGAAGCCCAUUGGCCACGGUUGAAGGCAUUGGAAAUACCAAGUGAAGUUUCAUUGUUGCUGACGCAUUGUCUUGCUCUGCGCACUCUCCAACAAAAGUAAACAGCGCAUGAUUUGCUGGUCUAGCCAUCCGAUUCUUCACUAGGUUGUGCAUCAUGCAAUUUGGAACGUUGCAGGGUAGCAUUUGUUUUUGUGCUUGGACGCACUUCUGGUGAUUUUUGUGCCUGAAAGCGGUGACAGUAAACAUUAAACACAAUUUAUGGCAUUGAUGUAUAUCAUGUAAUGCAGGCUCACUGUUGAGAAAUUUUUUCUUUCCAUUGAACAUUUGCCCAUCUAAUGGCAGCACCGGUCACGUUUGGAAUCUAGACUAAGUGCCAGCUACACGUGCUGGCGCUUACCUCUUGCACAUAGUUUCAUCACGUUUAUAUUUUCCUCGAUGCAAGACUGCCACACCGUGCUCGUAAGCUCUGUUCGAAAACAAUAGUGACUACACCUUGGUAACCUGCCCCGCUGGGAAGAUGACCUUACCGUCUAAUGGGGUUAAUUUUGUGGUACCCACUCGGUUGGGCUGCCAAGUGUCUUUAGUGCAUUUCUGCUGCACGAAAACAUUCCCUGUCCUUUCCAUAAAACAAAGGCAGGUAGGUGGUUAGCUUCAGCUGUCUGAGAACACCAGCUGAGCUGGUUAAGUCUGUCUAUGCAUGGCCUAAGUGAUCAACAGUCGUGGAGCAAGGAACGUCGC
rnacentral:misc_RNA from 1 species